rnacentral:rRNA from 1 species
CUUGCUGCUUUGCCGGCGAGCGGCGGACGGGUGAGUAAUGUCUGGGAAACUGCCUGAUGGAGGGGGAUAACUACUGGAAACGGUAGCUAAUACCGCAUGACCUCGUAAGAGCAAAGUGGGGGACCUUCGGGCCUCACGCCAUCGGAUGUGCCCAGAUGGGAUUAGCUAGUAGGUGGGGUAAUGGCUCACCUAGGCGACGAUCCCUAGCUGGUCUGAGAGGAUGACCAGCCACACUGGAACUGAGACACGGUCCAGACUCC